rnacentral:tRNA from 1 species
GGGAGGGUGGCUCAGUGGUUAGAGCCUAGGCCUUGGGAGCGAAAAGUCCCGGGUUGGAAUCUCGCAAGAGGCA